rnacentral:lncRNA from 1 species
UGCCUGGCCGGGAAGACCUCUGCUCUUGGCCAGGCUGUGUGGCAAUGAACUCGGUGAUCUGGGGAGAUUGGGCCCCUCCAGGGGUCUCUGCCUGAGGGGUGGGGGGGCUGGGAGUGUCAGGGGCCCCAGCCUUUGUCCUUAGAUUUCCUACAAGUCAGAUGAUCUUGGACGUGGUUUGUGAUCACUGCAGAUGUUGCCAGGUUGGCUGCCAGCUUCUGAGAGGCCUGGAUGGAGAAUGAAGGAGACAGGGAGAAUGAGCAACUGGCUCUGAGACCCAGAGCGGGGCAGGAGGGGCCCCUUUCCCUGUGUGGGUGUGGCCUCCAACCGGGGGCCCUAUGAAGGCCUCUCCCAAGACUCUCUGCAGCCGUAUAGUUCCAUGACCUCACAGCCAUCUAGCCUGGCUGGGAGUGUUCAUUCGUCUGGCAGCAUGAAGUGUCCUUCUCCAGUUCUAAUCUGUCUGCAAAGUCCUCAGAACCCAGCUUUCCACACCAUCCCCCAGACCCGUCACAGCUGCCUGCCCAAUCCCCCACAGAGAAGUCUUCACUAGGAUGCCUCCUGAGACCAGAGAUGGUUCCAGUCCUUCUCUACUGGGGAGAGGCACUUUUGCUGAUGCCCUCUGUUGGCCUCUGCAGAGCCCCCCUUAGCCUCUGCCCUUCCCAACCGGGGAGGCUGCCAGGCACAGGCAAGGUCAGGGUCCCGGCCUUCCCUACCGACCCCAGCUGACAGGGGCUCAGGCUAAAUUAAACUAAUUUAGCUUCAUGGAACCUAAGAAUGAAUGGAUGGCCCAGUGACCCCAAAGUGGCUGAAAUAAGAGAAUCAAAAAGCCCUCUGCACCGAGGGCAUAAUGGAAGAUGCUUCUGGGCCCCAACCUGCUCAGUCACAGCUGGGUUGUAAUAAAUGAACACAUUUGGGAACUCUGUUGUAUUUCGCUUCGUCAAAACGAAACAAUGGAAUGUGCCACCCUGGUUCCUAUUGAAAGGCACCCUGGCCCCCAGAACUGCUCUGAAUACCUAGGACUGUAUUAUCAGGAUUUCUCAGAAAUCUCUUCCAAACACAGCUGCCGCUCUUUAGGGAAUGGUUGACUUUAAUUAU